rnacentral:rRNA from 1 species
GAUGAACGCUGGCGGCGUGCCUAAUACAUGCAAGUCGAGCGAACAGACGAGGAGCUUGCUCCUCUGACGUUAGCGGCGGACGGGUGAGUAACACGUGGAUAACCUACCUAUAAGACUGGGAUAACCUCGGGAAACCGGAGCUAAUACCGGAUAAUAUAUUGAACCGCAUGGUUCAAUAGUGAAAGACGGUUUUGCUGUCACUUAAAGAUGGAUCCGCGCCGCAUUAGCUAGUUGGUAAGGUAACGGCUUACCAAGGCAACGAUGCGUAGCCGACCUGAGAGGGUGAUCGGCCACACUGGAACUGAGACACGGUCCAGACUCCUACGGGAGGCAGCAGUAGGGAAUCUUCCGCAAUGGGCGAAAGCUUGACGGAGCAACGCCGCGUGAGUGAUGAAGGUCUUCGGAUCGUAAAACUCUGUUAUUAGGGAAGAACAAAUGUGUAAGUAACUAUGCACGUCUUGACGGUACCUAAUCAGAAAGCCACGGCUAACUACGUG